UAGGAAAGAAGAAGAGAGACAGGGAUGG
rnacentral:piRNA from 1 species